UCGGAGAGGGCUGGCGUUUGACGUGCGCUUGCAGGUGCCUGGGAGUUAAUGUUGACUCUUUCGGUCCAGGCGACGGAUGCCUUUGCUAUCCCAGCUUCACAGAUGUGGGAACUGAGGGAAAGAGAGAUUAAGCUGGUGUUCCGAGCAAAUGGUGGCGCUGGGUUUCGAAUCCUUCUCCCCCCCUAGGCUAAAGUCUGUGCUCUUUUCUUUUACCGCCAACGUUUUUGGGAAGCUGGUGGAGGGAAGCUUGCGCGAUGAUAAGGCCCGGAAGAGUGGGGAGCACAGCGUCAUCACUGCCUCACACGUGCAAGCUUAGGCGCUUAGAGCUCACUAACCCACUUUCAUAACAACUUUCUUCAUAGUGGGCUUUAUGGACAGCCGGAUCGGGAGACAAGUCCUGGGUCUGCUACCGACGGUGUGACACUCUGAAUAAUUCAUUGUCCCCAUCGUGAGACUUCGUUUCCUCAUCUGUCAAGUGGGAAUAAUAAUAUCUGUUUCAUACGAUCGCAGGAUGACUGAGGACGAUGGGAAUUCUCACUGACUUCUGGGACUACCCUGGGGCAGAUACACGUGCAUUAUGAAGGAAGCAGUGCCUCCAGGGAAAGGAGGCACUGACAUCUAGACGAGCGAUGCGCAAGGCGCCAUACGUGCACUACAUCUAAUACACAGAGUACGGUGCAGCGGUGACAACACCGAAGCAGCGGGUAG